AUGCUUCUUCUAAUAGCACGACAUCUAUUGGCAGUGUAAUCGCUCUAAUGUUUGGGGAGUUUGACAUAUUUUUCCUUUUCUUUUUGUUAGAGAACAAACUUAACCACUGAUGCCCUGCUUGUUGGGUUUUCCGUCUAUACCUGCAGGCACUUCAAGCUGAGAAUGCAGCAGCAGAAGGAAGAUUCUCAGCAGCAGCAGAAGGAAGGGAAAGAAGAGGACGACACGUGGCAGCUUCUGGUGAAGAAGGUGAAGGUUGCUCGAGUUAUGUCCUCCUUCUCUAAGAGGAAGGGACAGGAAGGAGUUCAUGAGCAAUUCGCCCUUUGCUCUACUACUGCAAAGACCAGUGACUAAUGUCAUGGAAAUUUUCUUUUUCCUUUUGUUCUUUCCCCCCUGUUAGUAAGGAAUUAAGAUGCGCCUUCCUUAUAAAGAGAGCAGCUCGAUGCACGUAUAUGCAUGCCAAUCUUCUAGAGAGAGAGUUCUUAGCUUGUUAAAAAAAGGAGCAUGCAGCUGUUAUAGAAGUGAAACUUGUAUUAGAUAAUAGUUUGGUGUGUGUAUAUGUAUGUCUAUCUUCUAGAGAGAGAAAGAGUUUUUAGCUUGUAAAAAUGGGGCAGGCAGCUGUUAUAGAAGUGGAACUUGUAUUAGAGAAGAGUUUGGUGUGUGUAUAUGUAUGUCUAUCUUCUAGAGAGAGAGAGAAAGAGUUCUUAGCUUGUUAAAAAAUGGUAGGUAGCUGUUAUAGAAGUGGAACUUGUAUUAGAGAGGAGUUUGGUGUGUGUAUAUGUAUGUCUAUCUUCUAUAGAGAGAGAAAGAGUUCUUAGCUUGCAAAAAUGGGGCAGACAACUGUUAUAGAAGUGGAACUUGUAUUAGAGAGGAGCUUGGUGUGUAUAUGUAUGUCUAUAUUCUAGAGAGAGAGAGAAAGAGUUCUUAGCUUGCUAAAAAAGGGCAGUAGCUGUUAUAGAAGUAGAACUUGUAUUAAAAAGGAGUUUAGUGUGUUUAUGUAUGUCUAUCUUCUAGAGAGAGAGAAAGAGUUCUUAGCUUGCAAAAAUAGGGCAGACAGCUGUUAUAGAAGUGAAACUUGUAUUAGAGAGGAGCUUGGUGUGUGUCUAUGCAUGUCUAUCUUCUAGAGAGACAGAAAGAGCUCUUAACUUGCAAAAAAAGGGCAGGCAGCUAUUAUAAAAGUGGAACUUGUAUUAGAGAGGAGCUUGAUGUGUGUAUAUGUAUGUUUAUCUUUUAGAGAGAGAGACUUCUUAGUUUAUAUAAAAAGGGGCAGGUAGCUGUUAUAGAAGUGGAAUUUGUAUUAGAGAGGAGCUUGGUGUGUAUAUAUGUAUGCCUAUCUUUCAGAGAGAAUCACUCCAGCUGUUAUAAAAGUGGAUCUUGUAUUAGCAUAAGAACAAUUAGUUACAUUUUGCAACUAACUUAAGAUAUAAUAUGCAAUAAGAAACUUAAGCUGAUCAUGAUUUUUAAAUAUAAUUGAUUCAUCGAAUGACGAACGUACAAAUGUCUUUUUGGAUGCUUAGCAUAGUAUUUCGCUUUUGUUUACUCAAGAGUGUUGCAGUAAUUCUUGCAAUUGAUAGCCGAAAAAUGCGAUCAAUAUCUAUAACUAUAAUAUAUAAUAAAAAUAAAUGGGCUAAAAGACUCAAUUUUUAAUAAAAAUAAAAUAAUCUUUAUUUUUAUAAAAUAAGUUAUUAUUAAAUAAUUUAUUUUACCAUCCAAAUGAACCUUAAAAUUUACAUUUCCUCCGCAUUUCCUGGUAAUGAAGCUGACCCUAGUUUUCUCCAUGCAAAUCAGGUUAGAGUCGAUAGAUCAGAAUGUCGUAAUCAAAUUACAAUCUUUGAAGUUUCCCUAAUGAAAGAGAUCUCUAAGUUAAGAAAUUCGAGUCUAGUCUACAGUAAUUAAAGAUUAUUUGACGUGUAGAAUUAGGUAUGCAUGUCAGCAAUGACUAAGUUGAAAAAGUCCAUUAGUACGUUCUAUUAAUUUAAUUCAUCGUCACGCCUUUUACUUUAUGAACUUGACCACACGCCUAAUGACAGAUCAAUCACUCCAGAGAUCAUUUACGCGCUGAUGAAACAAUUUUUAUUUCAUUUAGCUGCUGAUCGCAAUUUUGUCCGAUGAAGCCGCCUUAGGAGGACCGGAAUUCGAGAAUUACGCAGGAGUAAAACUUAAUAAAGAGGUUUUCUUACUCCGAACUAUAACCGCCUAUUUGGUACAUUUGACUGAAAAUUGAGUUCCUAAUUUUCAACAAUUUAGUACGGUAGUCCAACGCAAAAUUCACGAAGUUUAAGUGAAGCCAAAGUAACUUCUGCCGUGAUCAAGAAGGACACGAGCCAACAGCUCAUCCGUGGCAGCAUUAGACCGACGGGCCACAGACGAGCAUCCUUGGCUUGGGGCAAAGCUUUGGCAGAGAGCGGAAAAGGUUCUGGUCCUUCACAGCCUCGGGUCGGGAUACAGCACGGCACGGAUACUAUAAUACUAUUGCCAGGCCAGACCGGCCUGAGCCUCUGGGCUGUGCUGGGCUGCUCCUCUGUGGCCCGACGGCCUGGCACGGCGGGAGGCCGAUCUUCAUACUUGGGAUAUUUUUUGAAUAUCCCAUCAACCAAUAUCUCAAUAAAUUCAUGGACCACAAUUUUAUGGAUGUACAGAUACAGCAGAUUUUAGUGUGUUCAGAUCGAGAUAUUUGGACAGCUUGCAACAACUAGUACUAUUUUUUUUUUUUUUUCCCCUCAAAAAAGAAAUAAUACUAAGGUACAUUUUAAUUUAUUAUGAUAAAAAUAUUAGAGGUUGAGAGGAUACCACCCUCCAUAAGUUUAGUCGAGUCUCUUUCUAAGCAGCGUCAGUUCUGACAUUUACGACUAAACUUCUAAUAGCCUGAUGAUAAUGUACACGUAACCUAUACACAUAACGUCCUAUCUUAAGAUUAUGACGUUCCAACUUGUGUCUGUGCCCAUAAGAUUUUUUCUUGGGCCAAGUGUUUAGAAUAGAUUUUUGAAAUAAAAGAAAUAAGGAAAGAAAAAAAAGAAAAAGACAUUGAGGUCGCUUCUGGCCCCAGCUUUUCAUAAAAUCUACACGCGCCGUGCUCGACCCGAAGGGACCAUGGAUUGCAGUGGCGAUAGAACAAUCUAAAUCUAAGCAUCCAACCCAUUUCAUUCAAUUUGAUCCUAGCCGUUGGAUUUCAUAGUGCUAAUUAAUGUUGCCAAAGAAUUAUUCGUUAAUUACUCGUAUUCUUUUUUUGUUAAUUGCCCGAAUCUUUUUUUUUGAAAAAUAAAUUUUCUCUUAAAAUAGUUAGUGUUGUGGGUUUAGAUCGAAAGAUUUAGACAUGACAGAAUGACCGGAUGGUCCACAGCUAGUGCAGUGCUCUAAGCAAUAAUUUAACAUUGCUUAAUUUGUCGUAUAGCCUGGCUAUUUAUACAUUCCAAAAAAAAAAUAAAUUUUACAACACAAGUUGUGUCGAUGCGUGUGGCUAUUUAUACAUUCCAAAAAAAUAAUAAAUUUUACAACACAAGUUGUGUCGAUGCGUGUGGCUAUUUAUACUUUCCAAAAAGAAAAAAUUUACAAUACAAGUUGUGUCGAUACGAGUGGCUAUUUAUACUUUCCAAAAAAAAAAAAAUUUACAACACAAGUUGUGUCGAUACAUGUUGUUCACAAAAUAAUAACAGUAAAUAUUUAUCUUUGUCACGCCCAUAUACUAUUAACUAUUUACUAAUUUAUAAGAAAAGUAUUAUUUUUUUAGAGAGAUAGGUAGCUUGCUACCUGCUUCGUUUAUUUUGUUUAAAAAUAAACUUAGCUGGAAAUGUGAAUCAACUAGGAUUCGAAUCUGGAUCUCGGGUACCAACCACCAAGUCCUUUGCCACUUGUUCUAGGGACGGUCGGUAAAAAAAAAAAAAAGUAAAUUUUAAAUCGUGUCAUCACCUUACGGUAGGAAAAUUAUACUAUGCUGAUAUUUUGUUGGUACCACACAACGCAGCAGGAACUUAAAAUCUUUGGAUCCUUUACUUCUUUUAAUCAAAUUCCAUUGCAGGUAUUUGCAAGACAUUAGUAAGUAUAAAAAAAUGAUAAGAAAAUGUUGAGAAGAUAUCUUGCCACGUCGGUAUAAAAGACAAAAUUUCAAAUUUAAUAUUCAAUGAUAUGGAUUCAUUACAAAAAAUGCGACAGAAUAAUUUGCCAAAUAUAAAAAGAAAAGGAGCUUAAUUUGAAGGAUUUUACAAUUGUAUAUUUUCUAUUACAAAUCUCUAUAUAUUAAUAAAGUUUCAUUCCUCACUCGAUGUGAGAGGAAUUCACCAAUUUUAAAUUUUCUUUAUGGUAUCAAAGCAGAAGGUCUUGAGUUUGAAUCACGCCAGGUUCCUAGCAUAUUAAUUUUCUCCUAUUUAAUUUAAGCCCACAUCAUAGGUCAACUAAAAAGUCUCGAAUUCAUGCGUGAAGGGGAGUGUAAACAUAACUGUGGCAAAGAAUUUAUACUGUGGUCCAAGGCCACUUAAGAGCCAAAAAAUCUUACUUUGAUCAGAGACAGGUUUGCCAAUAGCAUUUAAUUGAUCACAAAUCGACUUAAACUCUCGCAAAUAUGCAAAUAAGGAAGAUGUAUCAUUCUUUAUAUAUUGAAGUUUCGAAAGUAAUUCAAAUUCACGAGCCUGCGAAUUUGGAGAAAAUGUAUAUGCAAGAGCUUGCCAUACACCUGUUGAAGUCUUCACAUCUACAACAAGUCUCAGGACUUCUUCGGAGAGAGUUCUGGUGAUCCAAGUUUUCACUAGACGAUUCGUACGCGUCCAUGCUGUGAAAUCUGAAUUUUAAAUUUUGCUACUUUUGUCAGAUGAAGGUACUUCAUGAUGUGGUGGCUUUGAUUCUCCAGUGAUGAAACCAAGUAAAUCGCGACUCUCGAUUAAUGAUAAUACUUGUGUUUCCUACAGUAAAUAAUUGGCUGUGGUAUUAAUUUGAGAGAAAUGAAAUUAGCAACAUGGAGGUUGGAUAAAUAUGGAUAUUUGGAGGUUGAAGUCAGUAUCUUUGAGAAGGUGGUAGUCUUUCGGUAUGGCUCUGAUACCAUAAAGAAAAUUUAAAAUGAAUGAAUUCUUCUCACAUUAGGUGAAGGAAGAAAUUUUAUUAAUAUAUAGAGAUUUAUACAUGAAUGAAUAGAAAAUAUAUAAUUAUAAAAUCUUUCAAAUUAGGCUUUUUUUUUCUUUGUAUUUGACAAAUUAUCAUGUUGUGAUUUUUUUUUUAUAAUAAAUUUAUAUUAUUGAAUAUUAAAUUUAAAAUAUUGCCUUUCAUGGCCGGACAGUUGCAGUUGGUGCGGCCGGGAGGUGGGUCUGGGAGCUGAGCUGUCUGUUGUUUCGGAUCAGAACGGAGCCGCUGGCGUCCGCGUCAGCAGCUUCCGGGUCGGGCGGCUGGCAGCGGGGACGGAGUCGCUUCGGCGCUCCAANUCUCUCUCUCUCUCUCUCUCCCUCUCUAAUCGCCCCUUUGAGCCCCCCUUAAUAGCUUACGUCACUAAUGAAAUCAUCACCUACUAGCAAAGCCGGUUAGUCGGUGAGAGGACAAAUCGCAUUUAGACCCUCUGACCCUUCCGAAUGUUGCCAUUAUAGAUCCCUCUUGUAUUAAUCUAUAUUUUUUUUUCAAAUGUUGCCAUUAUAGAUCCCUCUUGUAUUAAUCUAUAUUUUUUUUUCAAAAAAAAAUAUAGUAAACCAUCUGUUCUAUUUUUUAAAAAAAAUAAAUUAAGUUAUAAAAAAAAGAAAGGUCGAGAGGGUGAGAUUGGACCCUAGAACAGUCUAUCACAGCUAGACCAAUCUUUACCGCAGAUUAUCCAAUCUCCUAUCCGAGUAAAUAUAUUGUUUACGAUCUGUAAAUAUGAUUUCUUUUGAUGUUUGAUUGUUCAGAAAUUCUGUUAUUUCUUUCUAACUAGAUCGUCCGCUACGAGGAUGUAAGCACGGUAAGUUUCUCACUUCUUCUUUGUAUGUUUUGAAUUUUUUUUGUUAUCUUUUAAAGAUCACGUUCUGGUUGUGCAAUGUGAGUAUAGAAGAAUAUCUUUAAAAUAAACUUAUAUGAGUAAGGCUUACUUUGUGAUGUAUUAAUAAGCUUAUAUGAUAUUGUUAGAAUGCGUGUGUUAGUAUAUCAGUUUUCUCCAUAUCAUCAGUAUUAAUAUAUUAUAAUAGUAUUUUGAAAAACUUACAGUAAUAUUUAAACUUUGAAUAGUCAUAUAAGUUUCUGUGUUUAUUUUAUUAGUUGACUACGAAAAUCAAUUUUCUUCUCAAUUGUUUCAAACUUUUUCUUUUUUCCUGUUAAUUUCCUGUCACCUCUAAACAUGCAAUUAAUUAAUUAAUAAAAACAUAUAAGGGUACAUAUGCAAAUUUCCCCCAGAUUAAAAUCAAGCCUACUGGUGGGGGCGGGUCCUUCUGCAGCCUUUUUGCCCUUCCCGCCAUUUCGGCUCCGCCUUUAUCUUUUAAGUUAAAUAUAAUAAAAUAAAUAAAUAAUCCAACUUUUUUCCCUUUUUUUUAAAAAUAUUUUUUAUUAUUUGAGUUACUUUGUCUUGGCCCCCACCCACUCUCUCUAUAUAUAUAGAGGCCAGAGGAAGGCCACAGUCCACAAUCAAAAGGAGAGGGAAAAAAAUCAUCACACGCAAACUCGCGGAGGAGAGAAAAAGGGAAAAGAGAGAAAAUUAAGUAGAGAGAUUCAUAGAAAAGAAAAAAAAAAAGAAAAAAAAAAAAAGAAGAUUUGUUUAGAAGAGAGAUGGACGCGAAGGGCGGUCGCGUCCAGAACGGAUUCCGACAGUGGCUGGAGGCGGGGAGCGACGCCAUCCCCGCUCCGGAUGUUCAAAUUUUGACCUCCGGUGGCCGCAAAAUUUCCGCCCAUUCUGCAGUUCUUGUGAGCACCCGAAACCUUCAAUUGAAAAAACAUUCAAAACUUUAUGUACUACAAUACAAUUAGAUACUCUCGAAUCGCAGAAGCUCACUGAGCACACAAUCGAUGUCUAAUCAUAUGCACUUUUUUUAAAAAGUAUUAAAUUUAUAUUUGUUUGUUUAUUUGUUUGUUUGUUUGUUUGUUUGUUUACAGGCCGCGGCGUCGCCAGUGAUGGAGAGUAUAUUGGAUCGGGCACAAAAGCGUGGAAAAUCGCGCAGGGUUAUUAGGAUUCUGGGAGUCCCCGAUGACGCUGUAAUGGCGUUUGUGCGGUUGAUCUACUCUUCUGGGUAUGUGUUCUUUUUUUUACCUUUUUUCCCUUCUUUUUUUUUUGGGGUUAAAUUGAUUAUAUUUAAAUAUUUAGUUAAAGAAAGGAAAAGUAAGUCUAAUGCAUUGAGGACCCUAUGUUUAAGGAGAAAUUAUUGCCCUGUAUCGUGAUGUAGUACCAUGCUCUGCUUUUAAUUAAAAAUAUUUUAAAUUUCGUUUGAUUCGGAUAUUAAUAAAAAUUAUUUAUUGUAGGAAUAGGUGCGAGUUCCAUUAUAAGCAAGAAUUAGAGUAAAUUUUUGUUUGUCAUUAUUUCUGAAAAUAAAAUAAAUAAUAUUUAAAUAGGUUUCAUUUGAUUCGGAUAUAAAUAUGAACUAUUUAUUGGAGAAAUAGUUACAAAUUCCUCUAUAUGCUGGAACUAGGGAGGGUUUUUUGGGAUUGUUUUUAAAAAUAAGAUAAAUAGUGUUUGAAUGGGUUCCGUUUGGUUCGGAUAUAAACAAGAACUACUUAUUAUAGGAAUAGAUACGAAUUCCGCGAUAAGCAAGAAUAAGGGUAAGUUUUUUUUUUGAAAUUAUUUUUGGGAAUAAAAUAAAUAGUGUUUGAAAAGACUUUGUUUGGUUCAGAACAGACAAGAACUAUUUAUUGUACGGAUAGGUAUAAGUUACGGUAUAAGCAGGAACUAGAGUAAGUUUUCAUUUGGGCUGAUGCACGGCUAAGCUGGUGCAUCGGGUGCUCGCAAUAAUUUCUCUUUGGACCCAUGUAAUCAUCAUGCUCAUCGUUAUCACAUGCACUGUUCGAAACUAAAGAAAAAAAAAUCAAGGGUCCAGAAUCUUUCUGAUGGCUCUGAGAAUUUCACAUUUCCCUGUCGAAAAUUAUUAUUUUUUAUUUUUUUUAAUAUUUAACUUAAUUCUUAGCUGGGGGUCCCACGCAACUCUUAUGUCGUCCCCUUCAUCCAAUCACAGCCCUCACACGGUCCAUUUCGUUCUAAUGAUGAUAGGCAUAAUAAUUGACUCAACACCACCGAGAAAUUUCGAGAUAUUUUUUUCGUGCUUCAGAUUUUUUUUUGGGGGUUCAUGUGCCACGAUGCAUACAUAAUGCAUAGUCACAAUAAUUUUAGUUUUUAUUUUUUUCACUUCAUUAAGGUAAUGAAGAGUACACAAAUUUUGGAUGUGACUGAAUAUCAAUGAAUAAUAAAAAAUAAAUUAAUCAAUCAAUAUAAGCAUUUUACACACCGUUUAUAAUAAAAUAUUAUAUUAAAUUUAAUCCGAAUGCUGAACUUAUGGCAUACUGAGUAGUACAAACGGAUCAUGUCAUGUCAAUCAGGUGCAUGUCGUUGGACGAGGAGGAGGAGAUGGGCAGGUACGGGCUGCACCUGCUGGUGCUGUCGCACGCGUACAGCGUGGGGUGGCUGAAGCGCGCGUGCGAGGUGGCGCUGGCGUUGCGGCUGACGGCGGAGGGCGUGGUGGACGUGUUGCUGCUGGCGCGGCAGUGCGAUGCCGCGCGGCUGUACCUCCGCUGCAUGAAGCUGCUGGCGAAGGACUUCGCCGCCGUCAAGAAGACCGAGGCCUGGCAGUUCCUCCAGGCCAACGACCCCUGGCUCGAGCUCGAAAUCCUCCAGUUCCUCCAGGAGGCCGAACUGGUACGUGACCAAAAUGUAUUAUGUUUGGUUUUGCCGUAGAAUAUAGUAAUUUUUGACAAUUCAUAUAAAUAAAUAAAUAGAUAGAUAAAAAGAUAUAAAAUUUAUCUGAAUGAUGAAUUAUUUUAAUAGAGAAAGAAGCGAGUUGGGCGCAAGCGGGCGUACCGGCGGGUAUAUGAAGAGCUGGGGGACGCGAUGGAGUGCCUGCAGCACAUGUACAUGGCCAGAGAGGGAAGCAAGAAGAACCACCCCUGCUCCUCAUCUGCCUGCUACCGCAACCUGCAGCUCCUCAUCCAACACCUCGCCGCCUGCCCCCGCAGGAAAGCCUGCCCCCGCUGCUGCCGCAUGUUGCAGCUCCUCCGCCUCCACUCCGCCCUCUGCGACGACAGCACGCAACAGGCUUGCCGCAUCCCUCUUUGCUCGUAAGUCUCUAUGCUGCUUUCUUAAAAGAAUUUGUUAGUUAAUGCUUUUAUCAUCCGCCUACGUUCAGGUGUAUCUGAGUCAUUUGGCUUUCAUAUGACUGAUGAUUGUUUAGGAAACAUUGGGAGGGAGUAUGCUGAGUUGGUGGUUGAUUGAUUUUAUAGUCUAUUUGGUACCACUUCUGUAUCUGUUCUCAGCAGCAGCAGCAGCAGUAUCAAGGAGAAAUUCUGGAGCUUCUGCUGUAGCGAGAAACUGAAAUUAGAUUUUCAACGUCAAAAACGAAUUACGUAAUGCUUCUUCUAAUAGCACGACAUCUAUUGGCAGUGUAAUCGCUCUAAUGUUUGGGGAGUUUGACAUAUUUUUCCUUUUAUUUUUGUUAGAGAACAAACUUAACCACUGAUGCCCUGCUUGUUGGGUUUUCCGUGUAUACCUGCAGGCAUUUCAAGCUGAGAAUGCAGCAGCAGAAGGAAGGGAAAGAAGAGGCCGACACAUGGCAGCUUCUGGUGAAGAAGGUGAAGGUUGCUCGAGUUAUGUCCUCCUUCUCUAAGAGGAAG
rnacentral:lncRNA from 1 species